rnacentral:RNase_P_RNA from 1 species
GGUAACAAGUGAGCUUGAAUGAGUCACAUUCAGAGCACUAGUUGCUAUUUGACUCAUAGGAAGGUCGGAGAUAAAGUAAAUUCCUUCUGUGAGGAAGUACAAGUAAUUGUGCAUAUGCAUAGUCGAAACACUGAUGGCAUAUGCAGUAUGCUUGUCAUUGAAAUAUGGCAUAGGCGGCAUAAUAAGUCAGAUCAGCUCAAUGGGAAACCAUAACUUAAUUCCGACUACUCUGCUACC